rnacentral:tRNA from 1 species
GACUCGAUUACGCGGACUAAAGGGACUGAAAAUCCUUGUGUCGGUGGUUCGAUUCCACCUCUAGGCACCA